AGCGAACGCUGGCGGCAGGCCUAACACAUGCAAGUCGAACGAACCUUUCGGGGUUAGUGGCGGACGGGUGAGUCACACGUGGGAACGUGCCUUUAGGUUCGGAAUAACUCAGGGAAACUUGUGCUAAUACCGAAUGUGCCCUUCUGGGAAAAGAUUUAUCGCCUUUAGAGCGGCCCGCGUUUGUUUAGCUAGUUGGUGGUGGUAAUGGCGCACCAAGGCGACGAUCAGUAGCUGGUCUGAGAGGAUGAUCAGCCACAUCGGGACUGAGACACGGCCCAAACUCCUACGGGAGGCAGCAGUGGGGAAUCUUGCGCAAUGGGCGAAAGCCUGACGCAGCCAUGCCGCGUGAAUGAUGAAGGUCUUAGGAUUGUAAAAUUCUUUCACCGGGGACGAUAAUGACGGUACCCGGAGAAGAAGCCCCGGCUAACUUCGUG
rnacentral:rRNA from 1 species